CGCUCAUCGUGAAGAGGGAAGCUUCCUGUCGCGUGCAUGUGAACCCUGUGUGGCCAGUGCCAUCCACCGAAAUCUACAGACAUCUUGCGUGCUCCCGAGCUCUUUGCUCCUCUGCCCAGUGCAGGGUUCCAAGACCCGUAGGCUGUGCAGCCCUCCUGAAGACCGAUGGAAGCUCCCUGGGUCGACAGAUUACAGCUUCUGCACCCCCUGGGGUCCCCUACUCUCUUCAACUCCCUGGUGGAUGCCCGUUGUCCCUGGAGAGAAUGCUUGGAAAUAACAGCUUGGGCACACAGCGACCAUAAGAGAUGUCUCCAUCCUUCCAGACUGAUAGACCAUGUUGUUCCUUAGUGAGGAUUGUCCCCGGGCAUCUGGAGCUCGGUAUCCCGAAAGAAUAUGUGCAGUUUCCCGGAUUGCCUUUGGGAGUGUGUGAAGGUCCGUGCCCUGUGCCGCCAGAGGACAGCACCUGCCAGCGAGCCAUGGCCCUGAUGCGCCUUUGAGCAGCCUGCACAGCAGAGCAUCGGGCUUGUCUCCAGAGCGCUCCAGGAUUGUCAGCUGAUCUUUGCUGUCUGUGUCAGCAGUCCUCGCGUUGCAAGAAGUGACUGGAACAGGGGCCUUGCCAGGUGUUUGUGGACCCCAGAGGACCAGGGAGUGAACAGGAGGACCACCACUCAGUGAAACUGGGAACUGCCCACUCACAGAAUCCUGAAACAGCCUUUUUUUUUUUUAUUAUGUUUUGCAAUCGACUCAGGCAUGGGAGACUCCAACAUACACCUCAGAGGGCUAUGUCCUGUCCCCGUGUCCGUCUGCAGUGCCUGAAUGACAAGUACUUUUCUGUUGAACUUAUUGCUUACCUUUCCUGUUACUCUUCACCCCACCACCACCACACAUGCAUACAUUGUACAUUGUUCAAUAAACCUUACAGAUUAACUCAGCCUGCCUUUUAAAUCCAUGUCACCCCAUGAGCUCACAGGGCUGGGUGUGGAAAAGGAGGGCUAUAGGACAGCUUCUGUCUCUUGAUGUGCCUUUCCUGUUAAUGCACUCUGAGGCUUGGCUUCAGGGUGUUGGAAGUGGACAGGAAGGACUAGUAAGUAGCCUUUGUGCCUUUGAGAGAGUUGAGGGGUUACUGAACAGUCAAGGUCAGGAUUCUGGGAAGGAGCCUAUGUCAGGGUGCUUUAUGACAUGUCAGGAAGGAAGGCUAGGGUAUCAGUUCUAGGAGCAGUUGAGGAGCUUCCUAGGAAGUGAGACAAAUCAUUGCUAAAACUAAAAAAAUUGGAUGGUUAAGAUAAUUGGGCAGGAUGCUAAAAUAUGAAAAGUGAAACUAGUAACCUGUUUUCUUUUUUAUAGCAAUUAUAACAACUGCCUAUGCAAACAGUUGUGGCUGAAAGACUCCUGAUCUAUGAGAAGUCUUGAUGUGGGAUUUCCCUCUGUUGUAAAUAUGUUUUAUUGCCACUGGUUAAUAAAGAAGCUGCUUUUGGUCAAUGACUUAACAAUAUAGCCAGGCUAAAAAAGAGUAGGUGGAGUCAGACACCCACAGGACCGUACCAGAAAGUUACGAGCCUCAUAAAAUAUAAAGUAAAAAUGGGUUAAUCUAAGAUGUAAGAGUUUGCCCCUCCCCCAUCAUUGAUAAAGUUUAGGGAGGCCCCAUCUCAUGCAAAUGUUAUAUAGAUAAACACUGCCUCUUGCCAUGACAUGAGGAAAACUGCAUUGUGUCUAAGACAUAUUCUUGUUAAUGAUAUGUCCCCAUUUUCUAGCUCUUACAUCCUUUCUGCCCACUUUUCCAUAACACUCCCUGAACUUUGGAGGGUGUGGUGCAAAUGGCCCAUUUGGGACCUAGUGAGCGCUCCAUCAUCACUUUUCCCACCCAAUUGGUCGAGUGUCUGCAUAAACCACCACUGCACUCAGUUACUUUUCUGAUGAAGACUGAGGACAGCAUAAAUAUAGAUAUAAAUAUGAAUAUUUUAAGUAAAAAACAUGACCAUUUAGCAAUAGAAAUAGGUGCCCUAUUAGAACC